GCCGAUGCGGGGCGCGUCGCCCCUUCCCGUGGUGCAGCGCGGCCGGCGGCGGCAGUAGCCGCCGCGACUCCAUCCGGGUCCCGCGGUGCUCCGGGUCACCCUGCGGCAGACUAACUUGAAGGCCCGGAAGUGCCGCCCCCGGGCGCUCCUGAGUGGUCGGUUACGCUCGCCGCCCGCCGGGGAUAGGCCGCGGAUGCCGUCAGCGGCUGGUUUUCCUCUCCAGCUCUGUUUUCAAGAUGUCUUUGCUAAGAAGGGGACUGUAAGUCACAUCUGUCUGAUGAGAUUACAUCUGUGGGACAAGAAUAGUACUUUUAAAGAAAAGUUUAAUGACUAAUUGCUAUGACUACUACAACUUGCUAACUCUGUAAAGUUGAAAUAUGUUAAGACCUAAGCAAUUCAUAGAAUUUUGAAAUUAAGGAAUGUUAUUUUUAAAGUAAAAAUGUAAUUGCAUGUUUGGGGAGAGAAGGAAUUUCUCUUUGAUCAGUUUUUUUUUUUAUGCUGUAAAUGGUGUCUUGCAGCUAGCUUAACUUGACUUUAUUAAAAAUCACAUUCUUCCUGCAUCACCUGUGAAGAUGCCUGCACUGUGGGAUGAGGUAGUAGGUUGUAUAGUUUUAGGGUCAUACCCACAACUGGGAGAUAACUAUACAAUCUACUGUCUUUCCUAAAGCAGCAGAAAGUCAACAGCGGAAACUUUUCAAUUUAAGUUCAAUGGCAGAUUCUACUGAGCUCCUGUACUUGGAAUGUUUAUAGAUAAGGUAUUUUAGGAGAAUGUAUUUUUGUAAUAUCUAAAAAUAAUUGCAUUUAGAUUUUUCUCAUUCUUGGAAAGUUCAGGUUAUCAUUUUACAUUAAUUUCUUCUCCUCUAAAGAAUAAAAAAGUUAAUAGACUAAGUUUCAUAUGCAUAUGGUGGACUAAUCAAAUGCAAUGAUUGAUGUUCUAAUAAGUUGUGUUGUUUACCAUUGCUAACUGAAAUAUCAGAUAUAAAUACUCUUCAGAAUAAGACUGUAGUGAGUUACUUCAGGAAAGAGCUUAAAUAUAUGCUUCUCUGUCAGAGUGAGGUAGUAGAUUGUAUAGUUGUAGGGUAGUUAUUUUACCCUGUUCAGGAGAUAACUAUACAAUCUAUUGCCUUCCCUGAGGAGUAAAACAAACUGCGGUCCUUUGCAGUAAUUCAUAUCUACAUUGAAUAAAAAUAGAUUUGUCAGAUUUUGGGUUGUAGAGUAUCAAAUUUAUCAGUGACAGAAUUUGCAGAAUUAACUAUUAGUGUGAAUGGAGCAACCCCCAAAUGUUAUGUUUGACUGCUGUGACUUUUCUUCCAAGGUGAGUGGCACAGUGCUGACUGGAUAUCCAAAGUGCAUAUGUUACUAGAUACAGAAUUGCCUCAGUGGAGUGGAAAGUCUAAAACAAUUUGAUUUUGAAUCUAAAAAUACAGGUGGCUCAGACUGGUACAUUAUGCCUUAAACUGUUUUGAGACCUCAAUUUCUGUAAGGUAUUAAAAUGCCACAACCCCAGCUGAGUAGUAAAAGUUGGAGGAAGACUUUGAAUUCUGCUUUGUCUGAUUAUUUUCUAGUUCUUCUAGCAAGUGAGACUUAAGCAAUGUAACACAACAUUAAAAUGUUGACUUGAAUGGCCAAAUCUACCUUUUGAAACAAAAUAAAAUACUUCUGGGAGGGGUGUGUGUGUGUAAAGCUAUAGAAUUUGAGCACCCAAGAUCCAGAUCUUCAAUUUUUCUGAGGUAGUUACUGUUUUUAUAAAAAGACAGUUUAAUCUUAUUGUGUGCUUUUUCCUCUUGAAGAGCUAGAGUGUAUUCAGUCUAACUACUUGUAGAGUAGAUUGACAGCUCCUUGCUGUAGUGACAGACAAGCAUGAAAUAGCUUUUCAUGGCUGAAAGUUCAGCAUAGUAAGUCAGAAUGAAAAUGGAGCCUUGCAAGAGUGUUUAAGCCAGGAAUGUUGAACUAGUUAACCACUUACAAGUAGUGACAGUGUAAAGUUGUAGUAUGUACCCAGGCCUAACAUGCAGAAGAUCAAAAGCAGCUGGUAAGCUAAACUGACUUCAGAGAGCAGCUGCUUAGUAAGAACUGCAAAAAGGAAACACUGGGCUCCUAGGAAGAGGUAGUAGGUUGCAUAGUUUUAGGGCAGGGAUUUUGCUCACAAGGAGGUAACUAUACAACCUGCUGCCUUUCUUAGGGCUUUACUAUAACAACAGGACCAUUUUGGCUCCAUCUUAACUUCUGCAGCUUUGACAUGUGAAGAGAAAUGACAAACUAUUUCUAAGCAUAUUGAGGCUUAGUGAAACUGGUAUAUGAGAAGACUUGGCACUAAACUCAAGUUUAGUACUACUAGUUGGAAUUCAGUAUGAUAAAAUGCUGCAUUUAAGGGUGUGCUUGCCAUUUUGGUGACAUUAGUGUUGUGAUACCUUGCAGGAAAGAGGCUAUGUUUGGAAGGUAACUCCUUCAAGACUAAGAUUUAAGUUCCCUGAAGUUGCAUGAUGCCUAUCUAAAAGUUCACUUGAGGUACCAAUACAAUGUACCUAGAGACAGAUAACUAAAAUACAUGUUCCUUUUGGCUUUGCAUUUCAAGCAGAAAAACUAAAGUUUCACUUUCCCAGAAGGAUCAGUGGACAACUUAUUUGAAAGCUAGUGGUUUCUGUACACAUAUAGGCAUAAUAAAACAUAUAGGCCUAAUAAAACAAGUUCUCAAUCGUGGAUUAAAUGAAUGGUUGCUUAGUGCCCUCUCUCAUGGGUUUGUAGGUUGAAAAAGUCCAUAAUUAGUUCUUGUAGGGCUUCAUCUUGAUACCUUAUGCUGUGGGAUAUGAAGACUUAUUUUAAUGGUUAAGCCUGUUACAGCAUUGAAGUCUUAUGUCUGCACUAGCCAGUACUUUGACAGUAAGACACAAUCCUUCCCUAGAUACUAUAAAAAACAUUGAGUAUGCUUACAUUGAACCUGUUUCAUGGAUUUAACUGUACACGUUUGACUUAGUUACUGACUUAAUAAACUGUAGUGUUUUAUGCAA